rnacentral:rRNA from 1 species
UACGUAGGGGGGCUAGCGUUGUCCGGAAUCAUUGGGCGUAAAGCGCGUGUAGGCGGUCCGGUAAGUCCGCUGUGAAAGUCGGGGGCUCAACCCUCGAAAGCCGGUGGAUACUGUCGGGCUCGAGUACGGAAGAGGCGAGUGGAAUUCCUGGUGUAGCGGUGAAAUGCGCAGAUAUCAGGAGGAACACCAAUUGCGAAGGCAGCUCGCUGGGACGUUACUGACGCUGAGACGCGAAAGCGUGGGGAGCAAACAGG